rnacentral:rRNA from 1 species
AAGACCUUGCGCUUUUGGAGCGGCCGAUGCCUGAUUAGCUUGUUGGUAAGGUAAAAGCUUACCAAGGCUUCGAUCAGUAGCUGGUCUGAGAGGACGGCCAGCCACACUGGGACUGAGACACGGCCCAGACUCCUACGGGAGGCAGCAGUGGGGAAUUUUGGACAAUGGGGGCAACCCUGAUCCAGCCAUGCCGCGUGAGUGAAGAAGGCCUUCGGGUUGUAAAGCUCUUUCAGCCGGAACGAAACGGUUACGGUUAAUACCCGUGAUUACUGACGGUACCGGAAGAAGAAGCACCGGCUAACUACGUGCCAGCAGCCGCGGUAAUACGUAGGGUGCGAGCGUUAAUCGGAAUUACUGGGCGUAAAGCGUGCGCAGGUGGUAUUGUAAGUCAGAUGUGAAAGCCCCGGGCUCAACCUGGGAACU